GUAAACGUAUUGCUGGAACACAUGAGGCGAGACCAAAUCAAUGCCAAAAAUUUGGAGGGAUUGACAGCACUAGAUAUCCAAUCACAAUACCCAUGGAAUGAAAGGCAAGCGGAUAAGAUUAUAGAUAUGCUAAGCAAAGCAGGAGGUUUGAGUGGUUCCUCUUCCUCGCUUCCCAAUACCUCCAUCUCUUCAUUCAACAUCGAAUCUUUAAAAGACAAGAUGUCACGGUCUCAAAAAUGGGCAACAAGACCAGGUCAAGUAAGAAGGGUAUGGUACAUUAGAUGCGUAACACAUUUCUAGUAGCGAUAGUGCUAAUUAUAACAACCACUUACGAAGCCUCUCUAAACCCUCCAAAGAAGCCUGAUGAAAGUCCAUCCACGAAAUUCCAAGUCUCUCUAUAAGUCAAGAUCAGCCUCUCACUUCCCACAUAUUUUUGCAUAAAGCCGACAUCAAUACUGAACCCAUACCCGGUCCCUCCACAGUGGACGUUUCCAAAAAAGAUGAUUGGACAUUUGAAUACUCCUCGUUUUGGUUUUACAACACUGUGACCUUUCGGGCAGCAUUGUUUUUAACAUCACGUUUCCUACCACCUCAUUCAUUCUCUUCGUUGGCUCUCCUAACACUUUCCUUCUUUGGGAGAUCUUACAUGAAUUUAUUUGAUGUUUCCUCACGGUCAUGGAAACAUUCAUAUGGGUUUUCCAAUAAAAACGCACACUUAUUAUAUGAUGUAGCCCCCUUUUGUAAUGUUCUCUUCUCAAUGUUGCUAGUUGUCCUUGUAUCAUACCAGACAAUGUUUUAUGUUUGCAGGAGGGUAAACAUUACGAAACCAAAAUUCUUCUUCCUCUUACUAAUCGUUAACAUUGUCUACAUGGUUUUUAUGUAUGGUCCAGCUUAGUGGGUCCGUAUAAUCUAAACUCCGAAACCGUAACGAAGUUUUCGGGUUUGUAUUGGUGAUGGUCAUCGACAAAUAAAAUCAAGUUUAGAUGAAGUGGUUUAUAUAUAUAUAUAUAUUAAAUUGAGUGAGUUAAUAUUAUUUUAUAAUUCUAAUGAGUAUAAUAUAUUAUUAAAGGGAAUAAGAUUCUAAAAGCUAAAGUUUGUAAGUACCAAUAAAAUUUUGUCACAUCAUCAAAUUUUAAAGACAUUAAAUUAUUAUUAUACACUCAUCUAUGGAUAAAUUAUUUUAUGGAUCUUUUCCACCUUAUUAUUCAUGGUCUCUUUCAACAAAUUUUUUCCAUGUAUUAACACAUAAUUUUGGUAAUUUUUUACUCUGAACCCUGAAUUUAGAAUCUUGAACCUUGAACCCCAAACUCAAAUUUUAGGCCCUAAGUUCUUAAACCUUGAACCCAAACCCUAAACCCUUGAAUCUUAAAUUUAAACCCUAAACUCCGAAUCUUUAAACCCUCAACCUGAACCUUGAACCUCGGGGUUCGAGGUUUAAGGUAAAAUAACUACCAAAACUAUGUGCCAAUGACAUGAAAAAAUUACAUAAAAUUUACUAAUAUUUUUAAAAAUUGGUUGCACAAAAAUAAAAAUAUUAACUAAUUAUGAAAGAAAAAAUGAUUAAAAUUUGUAAAAAAAGAAAAAAAAAAGAUAUUUUUUUAUAAUUUAAAAAACUAAUUAUUUUGAGUAAAUUAAUUAAAUUUUAAAUAAGUUGGAGAAUAUAUUAGAUAUACAUGAUUGUUUAAUAAUAAUUUAUUAUCUUUAAAAUUUAAUGACAUGGCGCUAUUUUAUUGGUACCUAAUAACUAUGCUUUUUAGGAUCAUCCUAAUAUAAUUUAUUCCCAUUAUUAAAUACCUAUUGUUUUAUUUAAGUUUUGAGAAAAAAAUAAUAAAGUAAAUAUGGGAGGAUUGAGCCUAGCCUGACAUCUUUUAAUUUUAUACGGGCUAUAUUUGGAUAAGAUGGGAAGCACAUAUCUCGAGUCGAGUCAGGCCUGAGCAAACAUGUUGUUCAUAAAUACUUUGUUAGACGGGUACAUGUUUGAUAAAAAUUUUAACCAUCAUCCCAUAGAAAUUAAAUUACUAUUUUUCAAUUUUAGAGUUGGUAUAUAUAUAUUAUAGAGAGAGAUUAUUAAUAUUGAUUGAUAUAUCAUCUAUCUUUCUCUCUAUAUAAAUAUCAAGGCCAAAUAUGUUAAAUACUUAAAUGUGAUCAAUUAAAAAAUCAUUUUAAGAUAUUUAAUUUAAAAUAUUUUGAUAUGAAUAAAAGAAAUGACUAAUUCACAUUUUCAAAUUAUUAUUUUUUAAAAUUUCAAAAUAUCACAUAAAAAAUUUUAAUAGAAAAAUGUUAAUACUGUUAAACUUGAAUUUUUAAACUCGAAAAAUAGAAAGAUUAAUUCUAAAAAAUAAAAAAUAAAAAGACUAAAUUUUAAAUAUAUAAAAUAUGUAAGGAAUUAGAACAUAUUUUAACAUUUAAAUUUUUAUUUUAUAAUUUUUCACAAAUGGAAAAACUUUCUAUUUCAGACAAAAUAGACCAACUUGUCAGUAGAUAGCAAUUCUAUGUUGGAUUGGACCCAUGAGGUUCCCGUCGACAAUGGGAGAGUGGUCCAAUUGAGUCGUCCUUCAUAACCAAGCGGCUGCCUAACAUAAUUACAAAUAAGUCCACAUCUCCCCUAUAUUAACCUAAUAGGCAAAAUAAUAUGGAAAAUACAAAUGUGCCCAUAAUUUCAUUAAUCAGAAAUUUUCUAGAUAAUUCAAGGGAAAAAAAUAUCAUAAAUAAUUGAAAAUUUUCGCACUUACCAAUUAUUUACGCAAUUUAAUUUCUAAGCCUUGCCUAGCUAAAAAGAAAACCCCACUAUAUUUAAUCUAGAAAAAACAUUGAUUUAAGUCGUAUCACACAUCGGUAUAAAAAUUACACUUUUACACAUAAAAUCAAGAUCUCUCCACUAAGUUCUCCCUCUAAAAACUUUAUUUUAAAAAUUGAUAAAACUUUUUUUUAAAAUAAUUUCAUAUCUGCUCUUUUUUAUACAAUGCUUAGAAUUAUUCAUAGCCCCUCUCAACCUAUAAAUAGGAGGAUAAUGCACUUCAGCGCACUUGAACACACAUUCUUCUACAUUGAUAACAAUACCCAAAUCAAUCAAACUAAGACUCAAUCAAUAAAAUUGUUUGUACAAAUAAUUCAAAUAUCACAAUUUUGAAGGUAGAUAUUUUAAAAUUUUAUUAAGCAUUACUUGUAUGGAAUAUCCUCGACAAUUUUUUUUACAAUUAUAGCAUGUAAGACAUAUGUUUGUAAUCAGAAAUUAAGAAAAAAAACAUUAAAUAAAAAAAAGCUAUAAAAUGACAUAAGAAUAUAAUUCAGAAAGAAAAUCUAUUGAACAUAAUACAAAAAUUUAAGUAUAUGUGAUACUAACAAAACCUACUUUCCAAGCAUUGGUGCUUCGUGGCAACAAAAAUCUUGUUCAGUAGAAAACUCCAAUCUGCAUCCUUUAGGAGAGCACUUUCUUUUUCCCAGACCUGCUAUACAAUGAUUAUGUAAAUCAAGAUUUUGAAAUAUAAUGCAGCAAUUGGUUAUACCACGGUAGAAGAAAACCGAAGUUUCAAAUUAGCAGUACUGGUGAUGUGAUUUUGUAUGUUAGAAUGACGUAUUUGUAAUGGUUUUCAAUUUUUGGUUGACUCUCGACUGUCAAAUAAAGUUGGAAAAUUUUAUUUAUUAAGUUUCCAUAUUUGAGAAUGUGAACAUGACAUGUUUAUGGGUCAAUGGAAUAUCUUUAGGGCUUUUUAUUUUUAAGUUUAAUGGUAAAUUAACAUGUUUUAUUAAAAUAGUUUUAAUUGUAUAUUUAAGUUUUUUUUAAUAGAUUUGAUGAAAGUAUUAUUAAGAAAAGGUAACGGAAUUUAAUAUGUGAAAUAUUUUUAAUGAGAUAUAAUUUAUUACUUAGAUAAUCUAAUAAGAUAAUUACAUGUGAAAAAUAAUAAAAUAAAUAAAUAAUUGAUGAAGUUAAAAAAAUAACUCUUAAUUUAAAGAAAAUAAACAUAAUUAUUAUUAUUUUUUAAAUGAAUGCAUAUUGAGAAAUUUCAAAAAGAUAAUUAAUAAAUCAAAUCGAAAAUACUGGAUGUGUGCAUAGGUUAAUAUCACUAAUUGCAAUAAUUUAGUUAAAUACCCUUUAAGAUUAAAGGUAAGUUGAUUUUGAUUUGCACAAAAGAUGUAAUCUAAUUACAAUUAAAAUUUAUAAUUUUAGGUAUUCUAAAAUAAAUUGAAUUUUUUAAAUUUAUUCUGAAAUGUUAAGCAUUAAAUUGUAACAUCUCGAAAAUCGGAGGUUAGUAGAAUCAGGUUUGGGAAUCGAGAGAGAGUGGUCAUGCCUUAAUUUUUAAGAUUAUCUAUGCAUUUUUAGAAAAUAAAUGAGGUAUUGGUAAAUUUUGUAAAUUUUGAAAUGAGGUCCCAAGUUUGAAUCCCUUCCUUUGUGAAAUAAUUAAAUUUUACAAAAUUCCUUGUUUUUUUAAUGUGUGUGCCAUCCGUACCCUUGAACCCUAACUAUAAAUAUAACUUUUUACUGUAUUUUUUAGCCUUUAAUUCAACUUUUACCUACCCAAGCCGUUCACCACUUCCUCUCCUCUUUUCUCUUCAAUUUUCUUUCUUUCUCCCAUUGUUGUUGUCACCUACACCUAGUUUUACCAUCUCUUUCUUCUUUUUCUUUCUGCCACAAGAUUCGUUAACAUAUUCUCCACCAUAUUGUUGUCAUUUUUCCUCAUUAAAAUUAGCCUCAAAUCUGAAAUCUUGAACUCCAAGAUCGACCCCGAACAUUGCCAAGAAAGUGCAUUGUCGUUUCUCUGAAUUGUCGUUUCUCUCGACCAGCUUGGGUAAUGUCUCUUCUCUCUUUAAUUUCUUAAUUAAUCUUGUCCAUUAAAAAUCAAAAUUUACAAACUUUGAAUUUGGGGGAUUUUAAAUGAUUUCAAAGGUAUUUUUCCAGAAUUUAACGAGAUCUCAAACCGUUUUAAAAUUCAGCACCAAUUUUGGCCACCAUGGGUGGUGGUGCGUGCGCCUAUGUGCAAGAAAGGGGGUUGUUUUAUUUCUUGGUUCUUGCCUAUAUUUUUUCAGAAUUAAUUUGAGUUCUUGAACCCUCCUAAUAAGCUUUUAAACCCAUUUCAAUUAGGGAAAAAUUUUCUUGAUCGAUAGGCCAUUAGGAUCCCACAAAUUGUGAAGCGUAAGUGUAAUUAAGGGUAACUAGUUUGUUAUUUCGAUAUAGUUGUUGGGUAAUUGUUAUGAUUUGAUUAAAUGAAGUAAUUUAAUCAUUAAUUAACUACUGAUUUUCCAGUAUAUUAUUGAAUUAGGUGCUGACUCAAACAUCUCAAAUCAUCCGUAAAGGCAAAGAACGAUUGUACGUACAGUUUGCAUCGAUACAGUGUAAGAAAUCUAACUAGUUUGGAUUCAUAAAAAUGCGGUUGCAGCAAUACAAGCAAGAGUUUAAAGCUUUAACAGAGAAGAAACUGCAGAGAAUAGUUUUUAUUUGUAUAUAUAUAUGUUUUUUAAGUUAUUCAGUAUUCAGCCCUUUAAAUAGCUGAGUUACAACGUAGGUUGUUUCCAAAAAUAUCAAUUCUGAGAAUCAGAAUACUAACAAUUCCCUUCAAAAUAGGGAUAUGCUCUAACUGUGAAACAAAUUUAUUGGAUUUCAAAUAAAUAAGAAAUCAAACUAACGUUCCUUAAGCAAAUAACUAAAAAUUCUGAAUGAUCCAUAUGUUUUAGAGCGUAUUGAUGAUGUGCCUUUUUUUCAUACUCCAUUGCAUGUAGCUGCCUCUGCCGGGCAUAUUGAGUUUAUGAUGGAGAUGAUCAAAUUAAAGCCAACUUUUGCAAGAAAGCUAAACCAAGCUGGGUUUAGCCCCAUGCACUUGGCUCUGCAAAAUCACAGAACUCAUGCAGUGCUUCGACUCCUCAGGUUUGAUGAAGGCCUUGUCCGUGUCAAAGGUAGGGAGGACCUCACUCCUCUGCAUCAUGUGGUUCAAAAUGAAAAAUUGAAUCUUUUGAAAAAGUUUCUUGAGGUUUGUCCUGAGGCUAUUGAAGAUAUGACUGUUCGAGAUGAGACGGUUUUCCAUCUUUCUGUGAAAAACGACAUGUUCGAAGCUUUCCAAGUCUUGGUGGGGUGGCUUAUGUGUUGGUGCAAGAGGCAGCAGCAAGCUGUUUCUAGUCUUGCUUGAGUAGUAAGCCUCGAGGCUUGGUGAAGAAGCAAACUCGGAAGCAGAAAACAGAAAGAUGAAGCUAGCAAGUGAAAAUAGAAAAAGAGAGAAAAAGAUUGAAUGAAAAUGAGCUGAUAUCUUUCAUUAAGCAAGCCAAUAAGGCAUUAAGCCAUUACAUAUAUCAGUCAACAAGUAAAACAAACAAGUAAUCACCUAAUAACAUACCUAACACCACUAAAUUGCCUAGUAACUUGGUAAACUUGAUUGAAAAACAAAAAGCUUCUACCUAAACUUGUCAUUCAGCACCUAAUUACAUCAAAAUGCAGCUACCAACUAAGUUUGAUCCUAACUAAAUACAAGACAUUCAAUUAAGGAAACUAAAUGGAUAGCUUCAGCUUGCUGCACACCAUGGCACCACUGCCUGCUGCGAUUCCAGAAGCAUGACCACCUUUGCAUGUCGUGCAUGGCCACCUUUGCAUGGGAACUAAACUUAACACUCCUCCUUAGUUUCCAUGCUAGUAACACCUAAUUCCCUUUUGAAUUUAACAAAUUUAGACACAUUGAGUGCCUUUGUGAAGAUAUCAGCAAUUUGCACUUCUGAAUUGCAAUGAAUCAGCUCGAUUUCAUGAGCUUGUUCCAUCUCCCUUAUAACAUGCAACUUAAUAUUGAAGUGCUUGGUUCUGCCAUGAAAAAUGGGAUUUUUUGCAAUUGCAACAGCAGAUUUGUUGUCACAAUAAAUCUCUGUUGCCUCCUUUUGGUUUUGGUUUAAAUCAGUCAAGAUUUUUCUAAGCCAUAUGGCUUGGUUCACAGCAGAUGCAGCAGCAACAUAUUCAGCUUCUGCUGUUGACUGUGCCACCAGACUUUGUUUCUUAGAACUCCAGCAAAACAUACCUGAGCCAAGACUGAAUGCAUAUCCGGAUGUGCUUCUCAUGUCAUCACUUGAUCCAGCCCAGUCACUAUCAACAUAGCCUAUUAACUUCAUGUUUUUGGCCCUUUUGAACAAUACACCAUGACCAAUGGUGCCUUUGAUGUAUCUCAGCACUCUUUUAGCUGCUCGAAAGUGCUGAUCAUUGCAGCAAUUCAUGUAUCUUGAUAGCAUACUAACAGCAAACAUGAUAUCGGGCCUUGUGGCAGUCAAAUACAACAGACUGCCAAUGAGACUCUUGUACAUGGUCUCACAAAUUGGUUCACCACUCCCUUGCCUCGAAAGCUUCACUCCAACAGCCAUUGGUGUGCUUGUUGGCUUGCAGUUCUUCAUAGAGAACUUGUCCAGGAUCUUCAUAGUAAAAGAACUCUGACAAAGAAAGAUUCCCUUUUCUGUUUGGUUCACUUCCAUUCCAAGGAAGUAGUUCAUUCUGCCUAAAUCAGACAUUUCAAACAUUUCCAUCAUUUUUCUUUUGAAAUCUUCCAGCAUUCUUCCAUCUCCUCCAGUUAUCAGUAGAUCAUCAACAUAGAGUGACAGAAUAAGCUGAGUUUGAGCUUGGUUCUUCUUCACAUACAGUGUUGGUUCACUGGGACUUCUUUCAAAUUCCAAACUGAGUAAGUAAGAGUCAAUUCGAGCAUACCAGGCUCGAGGAGCUUGUUUCAGGCCAUAUAAAGCCUUUUUCAGUCUGUACACCAUGUGUUCUUUGCCAGUGAUCACAAAUCCUUGAGGCUGCUCGAUGUAGAUCUCUUCUUCCAGGAAGCCAUUGAGAAAUGCAGACUUAACAUCAAGCUGAUGAAUGGUCCACUGAUGUUGAGCAGCCAAGGCAACUAUCAUUCUAACUGUGUCAAGCCUGGCUACUGGUGCAAAUGUCUCCAGGUAGUCCAGACCAUACCUUUGGCUAAAUCCUUUGACAACAAGCCUGGCUUUUAGCUUGUUCAGACUGCCAUCUGCAUUCUGUUUUACUCGAUAGACCCAUUUUACUCCAAUGGUCUUCUUUUCAGCAGGUUUAUCAACAAGCUCCCAUGUCUGGUUCUUUUCAAUCAUGUUGAUUUCAUUGAUCAUAGCUAGUUUCCAGCCUUCAUCUGCCUCAGCCUCUUCAAAGCUGCUAGGUUCUGCUAUUGCAACCUGUGCCCUUUCAUAAAUAUCAUCUAGGGGCCUUGUGCCUCUCACAGGCACAUCAUCAACAUCCAUUUCAGGUCCUAGCUGCUCAAGUUCAGCUUGGUUAGGCACUAGGUCUUCUGAAACUGCUUCUGGCUCAUUUUUCUCCCAAUUCUAGCAGGCUUUUUCAUCAAAGAUGACAUCUCUACUCACCUAGACUUUGUUUAUCAAGGGAUCCAGAACCCUGUAGCCCUUCUUGACUGAGCUGUAGCCUACUAGAACACCUGGUUGAGCCCUUUUAGAGAGCUUGUCUCUCUUUGCUGCUGGUAUUUGUGCAUAACACAGGCAACCAAACACCUUCAGAUGUGCUAAGGAAGGCUUGAAACCAGACCAAGCCUCGAAAGGUGUCUCGGAUGCAAGAGCUUUUGUAGGAAGCCUGUUCUGAAGGUAAACAGCAGUGUUUACUGCCUCAGCCCACAUGGUCUUGGGCAGUUUCUUCUCAAACAGCAGACAUCUGGCCAUAUCCAUCAGACUUCUAUUCUUUCUUUCAGCUACCCCAUUCUGCUGAGGUGUGUAGACAUUUGUAAGCUGAUGUUUGAUACCAGCAUCAUUGCAAAUGGCUUGAAACUGAGCUGAAGUGUACUCAGUGCCAUUAUCAGUCCUUAUCGAUUUCAGCUUGCAACCUGUUUCUGUUUCUACAGCAUUUUUAAACUUCACAAACACUUGAGCUACCUCAGACUUGUGUUUUAAAAAGAAAAUCCAGCAAAACCUUGUAAGGUCAUCAAUAAAGAGGAUGAAAUACCUGUUUUUGCUGAGUGAUUCAGUCCUCAUCGGGCCACAUACAUCAGAGUGCACCAGCUGCAGUCUUUCAGUAGCUCUCCAGGUUGAAUUUGUAGGAAAUGGCAGUCUUGCCUGUUUCCCCAUUUGGCAAACUUCACACACAUCAUCAUGCUCCACUGAGCUGAUGAAGUUCUCUGCCAAGCCCUCUUUGGCCAAUCGAGCUAUUGAUCUGAAGUUGACAUGUCCAAGCCUUUGAUGCCAAAGCUUGGAGUCUUCAACAGAGACUGUGUAUGCUGAGUUUGAGUCAUUUGCCCAGUGAACCUCAAAACAUUUAUCAGUCAUUGUGACUGUCAUAAGGCUUGAUCCACUUGGAUCAGUAAUAUGGCAUUGUUUAUCCUUGAACACAACAGAAUAACCUUUCUCGAGCAGUUGAGCUAUGCUGAGAAGGUUUCUGUCAAUCUGUGGUACCAACAGCACAUUUGGAAUGAUCUUGUUGCCUGUGGGAGUACAUAUCAGCACUUCUCCUCUUCCUUCAGCCCUUAUAAACUGACCAUUUCCAACCUUGACCUUGGUUUUAUAACUUUUGUCCAAGGUUUUAAACAAGGAGGCAUCUGGUGACAUGUGGUUAGUGCAACCACUGUCCAGCAACCAGCCUUUAGAGCAUUUCUUCUCAGAAGCUACACAGGAAACAGCAAAGACCUGUUCUUCUUGGUCACUACUGUCCUCAGCUACUCGAGCUUCAACCUUUGACUGUUGAAAUUGAUUCUGCCUUGGCUUACUUCUGUUUUUGCAGACCCUUUCAACGUGGCCCUUCUUCUUGCAGUGUUGGCAUACUGCAUCUGGCCUAAACCAGCAUCUGUCUUCUGGAUGGCCAGGCUUCUUGCAAUAUCUGCAGGGCUGGUCAUUGCUCCUUGCAGCAUCAGGCUUAGGCCUGUUUUUCCAAGGCCUUUUGCCUCUUUGAGCAUUAGUGCUCGAGGUUUCUCUGGCCUUGGCUUGAAAUGCACCUUCUUGGUGAUCUUUAGCUCUGCUAGCUCUUCUUUGUUCCUGAGCAUAAAAGGUGUUGAUUAGCUCAGUCAAAGAGAUGCUAGCAAGGUCUCUUGAGUCCUCUAGAGAGGAUAUCUUGGCCUCAUAUCUCUCAGGCAAGGUGGAGAGGACUUUCUCCACAAUUCUUGCCUCAUCAAAGUGCUCACCUAGGAGCCUUAUGCUGUUAACCACUGCCAUAAUUCUAUCUGAGUACUGCUUCACUGUUUCUUCUUCCUUCAUCUUCAAAUUCUCGAAAUCCCUUCUCAAGUUUAACAGCUGCUGUUGCCUUGUUCUCUCAGUGCCUUGAAACUCCUCCUUGAGCUUAUCCCAGGCCUGUUUUGGAGUCUCACAGGCCAUAAUUCUGGUGAAGAUGACAUCUGACACACAGUUCUGGAUGCAGGACAUGGCUUUGUGCCUUUUGGUCCUCUCAUCAGCAUGUUGCCUAAUCUGAGCUACUGUGGGAUUAGCCCUCAGUGGUGCUGGCUCAGUAUCUGUGUUGACAACUUCCCACAGAUCGAAGGCCUGUAGGUAAGUCUUCAUCUUGACCAGCCAUAUGUGAAAGCCUUCUCCAUUGAAGACUGGUGGGGCUGCUGGUGAAAAUCCUGAAGAAGCCAUCAAGUUCUUUGUUUUGAAGCAACAGGUCCACUAAGACAAGAGCUCUCGAUACCAAUUAUUGGUGCAAGAGGCAGCAGCAAGCUGUUUCUAGUCUUGCUUGAGUAGUAAGCCUCGAGGCUUGGUGAAGAAGCAAACUCGGAAGCAGAAAACAGAAAGAUGAAGCUAGCAAGUGAAAACAGAAAAAGAGAGAAAAAGAUUGAAUGAAAAUGAGCUGAUAUCUUUCAUUAAGCAAGCCAACAAGGCAUUAAGCCAUUACAUAUAUCAGUCAACAAGUAAAACAAACAAGUAAUCACCUAAUAACAUACCUAACACCACUAAAUUGCCUAGUAACUUGGUAAACUUGAUUGAAAAACAAAAAGCUUCUACCUAAACUUGUCAUUCAGCACCUAAUUACAUCAAAAUGCAGCUACCAACUAAGUUUGAUCCUAACUAAAUACAAGACAUUCAAUUAAGGAAACUAAAUGGAUAGCUUCAGCUUGCUGCACACCAUGGCACCACUGCCUGCUGCGAUUCCAGAAGCAUGACCACCUUUGCAUGUCGUGCAUGGCCACCUUUGCAUGGGAACUAAACUUAACAUUAUGAGACGCUGGUAUGAGUCACCCCGAUGGGAGAAAGAACUACUGAGUUGGCCAGACAUUGAUGGCAACACUGUUUUACACAUUGCAGCUAUCAGAAACAGACCUCGGGUAUAUGCUAAUUUUUGUCAUUAAGUCAGUUAUUGAUGAGUAUAUAUGUAUGAUAAAAGGGUAACUUAUAUGAAUAUUUUAUUAACAGGUGGUAAACGUAUUGCUGGAACACAUGAGGCGAGACCAAAUCAAUGCCAAAAAUUUGGAGGGAUUGACAGCACUAGAUAUCCAAUCACAAUACCCAUGGAAUGAAAGGCAAGCGGAUAAGAUUAUAGAUAUGCUAAGCAAAGCAGGAGGUUUGAGUGGUUCCUCUUCCUCGCUUCCCAAUACCUCCAUCUCUUCAUUCCACAUCGAAUCUUUAAAAGACAAGAUGUCACGGUCUCAAAAAUGGGCAACAAGAGCAGGUCGAGUAAAGAAGGGUAUGGCACAUGAGAUGCGCAACACAUUUCUAGUAGUGACAGUGCUAAUUAUAAC
rnacentral:lncRNA from 1 species